ACAUGAAAAACUAUCAGAAAGACUUCCUUUUCUUGCACAAAAUUGGUAACUUCAAAAGCUACCAACGUGUGGAAGGAUAUGGAUCAGGUUUUAAGUUGAAAUUCAAACCAAUUUGAAUUUAAAUCAAAACCAACCAAUUUCUAUCGAUAAUGAAUGACAAAAGAAGAAUUAUUUUUUGAUUUUUUCAUACACAAACUAAUUUUGUGUGGUGAGAAAAGGUGUGAGACAACUUGGGUGGCGCA
rnacentral:lncRNA from 1 species